rnacentral:misc_RNA from 1 species
AGAAUCUCCCGUUUUCUAGAAACCCGAAAUAUUCUGGAUUGUUCGAUACGGUCCGCUACUACGUUCUCUGGACGCAAAAGAUUUUCCGAUCGGCAACCGGAGGCGGCAGAGAAUUUCAAUUGCCGUCGUUUAGCCGAACUGGUGCAACGCAUGGAGCGUAGUUAGGUGUUAUAAAGUUCAAUUCCCUUUGCCUAUCUAGGUGGUUCAAUCAUCAAUGGAUCAUUCCUAUCAAGUUAAUCACAGUUGUGCCCUAAAUCCUCCCAAAGACGGCCUCCCUAGCACCCAGUCUUCUAAUGAUGCACUUAGGCAGAUGGGAUCUGAAGGGAAAAUGGGAGCAGUUCAUGAAGAAAUGAAGAG